CCUACGGGAGGCAGCAGUGGGGAAUAUUGCACAAUGGGCGCAAGCCUGAUGCAGCCAUGCCGCGUGUAUGAAGAAGGCCUUCGGGUUGUAAAGUACUUUCAGCGGGGAGGAAGGCGACGGGGUUAAUAACCCUGUCGAUUGACGUUACCCGCAGAAGAAGCACCGGCUAACUCCGUGCCAGCAGCCGCGGUAAU
rnacentral:rRNA from 2 species